rnacentral:rRNA from 1 species
GACGAACGCUGGCGGCGUGCUUAACACAUGCAAGUCGAACGGAAAGGCCCUGCUUUUGUGCGGUGCUCGAUUGGCGAACGGGUGAGUAACACGUGAGUAACCUGCCCUUGACUUUGGGAUAACUUCAGGAAACGGGGGCUAAUACCGUACAGCAUCUCCUCCUCGAUUGUGGGGGGUGGAAAGUUUCGGCGGUUGCGGAUGGACUCGCGGCUUAUCAGCUUGUUGGUGGGGUAGUGGCUUACCAAGGCUUUGACGGGUAGCCGGCCUGAGAGGGUGACCGGCCACAUUGGGACUGAGAUACGGACCAGACGGCUACGGGAGGCAGCAGUGGGGAAUAUUGCACAAUGGGAGGACGCCUGAUGCAGCAACGCCGCGUGCGGGAUGACGGCUUGCGGGUUGUAAACCGCUUUCGCCUGUGACGAAGCGUGAGUGACGGUAAUGGGUAAAGAAGCACCGGCUAACUACGUG